rnacentral:rRNA from 1 species
AGUGAACGCUGGCGGUAGGCCUAACACAUGCAAGUCGAACGGCAUCACAGUAAUUGCUUGCUCUUACGGGUGGCGCGUGGCGGACGGGUGAGGUAUACAUUGGAAUCUACUUUUUCGUGUGUGAUAACGUAGGGAAACUUACUCUAAUACCGCAUACGACCUCCGGGUGAAAGCAGGGGAUCUUCUGACCUUGCGCGAUUGAAUGAGCCGAUGUCGGAUUAGCUAGUUGGCUGGGUAAAGGCACACCAAGGCGACGAUCGGUAGCGGGUCUGAGAGGGAGAUCAGGCACACUGGAAGAGAGAAACACUACAGACACUGGCAGGAAGAAGCAGUGGGGAAUACUAGACGAGGGGGGAGAGCGUGAUCCAGCGAUACCGCGGGGGGGAAGAAGGCGUUAGGGUUGUAAAGUCAUUUUGUUGGGAGAAAAAAGCAGUAGGUUAAUACCCCGCGAUACUGACGGUACCCGAAGAAUAAGCACCGGCUAACUUCGUG